rnacentral:rRNA from 1 species
UUUUAAUGUAAAAAUUUUGAAGUAGUAUUAGGUAUGAUCUAUAAACUUAAGAGAUUUGGCAGUAUUUUAUCUUAUUAGAGGAACCUGUUUAUUAAUUUGAUAAUCCACGACUUAAAUCUACUUUUUUUUUUAAUUUACUUGUAUACCGUUGUCAUGAAUCUAAUAUGAAAAUUUAUUUUCUUUUUUUUUUAAUGAAAAGUAUGUUAAAUCAAGGUGCAGUUUAAAAAAGAUUUUUAUGGGUUACUUUUAUUAUUAUAUAUGAAUUUUUAAUUUUUAAGAUUUUAUGAAACUGGAUUUAAUAGUAAUUAUAUUAAAGUAAUAUUAUGAAUAAAGAUUCUA